rnacentral:tRNA from 1 species
GCGGGAAUGGCGGAAUUGGUAGACGCACUGGAUUUAGGUUCCAGCGCCGCAAGGUGUGAGAGUUCGAGUCUCUCUUUCCGCACCA